UACGUAGGGUGCAAGCGUUGUCCGGAAUUAUUGGGCGUAAAGAGCUCGUAGGCGGCUUGUCACGUCGGAUGUGAAAGCCCGGGGCUUAACCCCGGGUCUGCAUUCGAUACGGGCAGGCUAGAGUUCGGUAGGGGAGAUCGGAAUUCCUGGUGUAGCGGUGAAAUGCGCAGAUAUCAGGAGGAACACCGGUGGCGAAGGCGGAUCUCUGGGCCGAUACUGACGCUGAGGAGCGAAAGCGUGGGGAGCGAACAGG
rnacentral:rRNA from 1 species